rnacentral:rRNA from 1 species
GGGUUGUGAGGUUAAGCGACUAAGCGUACACGGUGGAUGCCCUGGCAGUCAGAGGCGAUGAAGGACGUGCUAAUCUGCGAUAAGCGUCGGUAAGGUGAUAUGAACCGUUAUAACCGGCGAUUUCCGAAUGGGGAAACCCAGUGUGUUUCGACACACUAUCAUUAACUGAAUCCAUAGGUUAAUGAGGCGAACCGGGGGAACUGAAACAUCUAAGUACCCCGAGGAAAAGAAAUCAACCGAGAUUCCCCCAGUAGCGGCGAGCGAACGGGGAGCAGCCCAGAGCCUGAAUCAGUAUGUGUGUUAGUGGAAGCGUCUGGAAAGGCGCGCGAUACAGGGUGACAGCCCCGUACACAAAAAUGCACAUGCUGUGAGCUCGAUGAGUAGGGCGGGACACGUGGUAUCCUGUCUGAAUAUGGGGGGACCAUCCUCCAAGGCUAAAUACUCCUGACUGACCGAUAGUGAACCAGUACCGUGAGGGAAAGGCGAAAAGAACCCCGGCGAGGGGAGUGAAAAAGAACCUGAAACCGUGUACGUACAAGCAGUGGGAGCUCGCUUAGGCGUGUGACUGCGUACCUUUUGUAUAAUGGGUCAGCGACUUAUAUUCUGUAGCAAGGUUAACCGAAUAGGGGAGCCGAAGGGAAACCGAGUCUUAACUGGGCGUUAAGUUGCAGGGUAUAGACCCGAAACCCGGUGAUCUAGCCAUGGGCAGGUUGAAGGUUGGGUAACACUAACUGGAGGACCGAACCGACUAAUGUUGAAAAAUUAGCGGAUGACUUGUGGCUGGGGGUGAAAGGCCAAUCAAACCGGGAGAUAGCUGGUUCUCCCCGAAAGCUAUUUAGGUAGCGCCUCGUGAAUUCAUCUCCGGGGGUAGAGCACUGUUUCGGCAAGGGGGUCAUCCCGACUUACCAACCCGAUGCAAACUGCGAAUACCGGAGAAUGUUAUCACGGGAGACACACGGCGGGUGCUAACGUCCGUCGUGAAGAGGGAAACAACCCAGACCGCCAGCUAAGGUCCCAAAGUCAUGGUUAAGUGGGAAACGAUGUGGGAAGGCCCAGACAGCCAGGAUGUUGGCUUAGAAGCAGCCAUCAUUUAAAGAAAGCGUAAUAGCUCACUGGUCGAGUCGGCCUGCGCGGAAGAUGUAACGGGGCUAAACCAUGCACCGAAGCUGCGGCAGCGACGCUUAUGCGUUGUUGGGUAGGGGAGCGUUCUGUAAGCCUGCGAAGGUGUGCUGUGAGGCAUGCUGGAGGUAUCAGAAGUGCGAAUGCUGACAUAAGUAACGAUAAAGCGGGUGAAAAGCCCGCUCGCCGGAAGACCAAGGGUUCCUGUCCAACGUUAAUCGGGGCAGGGUGAGUCGACCCCUAAGGCGAGGCCGAAAGGCGUAGUCGAUGGGAAACAGGUUAAUAUUCCUGUACUUGGUGUUACUGCGAAGGGGGGACGGAGAAGGCUAUGUUGGCCGGGCGACGGUUGUCCCGGUUUAAGCGUGUAGGCUGGUUUUCCAGGCAAAUCCGGAAAAUCAAGGCUGAGGCGUGAUGACGAGGCACUACGGUGCUGAAGCAACAAAUGCCCUGCUUCCAGGAAAAGCCUCUAAGCAUCAGGUAACAUCAAAUCGUACCCCAAACCGACACAGGUGGUCAGGUAGAGAAUACCAAGGCGCUUGAGAGAACUCGGGUGAAGGAACUAGGCAAAAUGGUGCCGUAACUUCGGGAGAAGGCACGCUGAUAUGUAGGUGAAGUCCCUCGCGGAUGGAGCUGAAAUCAGUCGAAGAUACCAGCUGGCUGCAACUGUUUAUUAAAAACACAGCACUGUGCAAACACGAAAGUGGACGUAUACGGUGUGACGCCUGCCCGGUGCCGGAAGGUUAAUUGAUGGGGUUAGCGCAAGCGAAGCUCUUGAUCGAAGCCCCGGUAAACGGCGGCCGUAACUAUAACGGUCCUAAGGUAGCGAAAUUCCUUGUCGGGUAAGUUCCGACCUGCACGAAUGGCGUAAUGA